rnacentral:rRNA from 1 species
GACGUAGGGUGCAAGCGUUUGUCCGGAUUUAUUGGGCGUAAAGAGCUCGUAGGCGGCUUGUUGCGUCUGCUGUGAAAACUCGGGGCUUAACCCCGGGCCUGCAGUGGGUACGGGCAGACUAGAGUGCGGUAGGGGAGACUGGAAUUCCUGGUGUAGCGGUGAAAUGCGCAGAUAUCAGGAGGAACACCGGUGGCGAAGGCGGUCUGCUGGGCCGUUGCUGACGCUGAGGCGCGACAGCGUGGGGAGCAAACAGG